rnacentral:rRNA from 1 species
GUCUCUGGCCAUGGCACCCUGAACGUGCCCAAACUCUUCUGAUCUCUGAAGCUAAGCAGGGUCAGGCCUCGUUAGUACUUGGAUGGGAGACUACCUAGGAAAACCAGGUGCUGUAGGUG